rnacentral:rRNA from 1 species
AGAUUGAACGCUGGCGGCAUGCCUUACACAUGCAAGUCGAACGGUAGAGUAGCAAUACUCGAGAGUGGCGAACGGGUGAGUAAUAUAUCGGAACGUGCCCAGUCGUGGGGGAUAACGUAGAGAAAUUUACGCUAAUACCGCAUACGAUCUAAGGAUGAAAGCGGGGGAUCGCAAGACCUCGCGCGAUUGGAGCGGCUGAUAUCAGAUUAGGUUGUUGGUGAGGUAAAAGCUCACCAAGCCGACGAUCUGUAGCUGGUUUGAGAGAACGACCAGCCACACUGGGACUGAGACACGGCCCAGACUCCUACGGGAGGCAGCAGUGGGGAAUUUUGGACAAUGGGCGAAAGCCUGAUCCAGCAAUGCCGCGUGUGUGAAGAAGGCUUC